GGCUUUGAGUGAGUCAGCAUUUCCAGUCUAGCCAAUCCUGGUGCACUUACAACAUCAUUUCUGCACCUACAAAAUUAUGGACCAGAUUUUGGAGAGCAACAAGUUCACCAAGGGUUUUGCUCUGUUGUCCUGGCUAGGGUGCAGUGGUAUGAACAUGGCUCACUGCAGCCUUGACCUCCUGUACUCAAGCAAUCCUCCCUCUUCAGUCUCCUGAGUAGUGAGUAGUUGGGACCACAGGCGAAAUCCUAUCAAAAAUAAAACUCCUAGCCAGGAGAUAAAUUUUUUUAUAAGUAGGAAAAAAUGCAAUCCCUAUUUUGGAGAAUUGUCACCCUUGCGUUCCCUGUGAGAAAAUAAAUGAAGUUCAAUGGGCUUUAUUAACCUCCUCUAUUAGGGCUGAGAUGUCUUUUUUUUCUCAACACCAAAAACCUCAGGCAUAAUCUUAAGAAGUCACUGAUGAAAUUGCACUUCAGAUACAAAAGAUUCUGUUAGACCAGUUCACUUUUUUCUCUUUUCAUUCAUUGCAGAGGGUCAGAACUAGAGGUGGUGGAGUGAACGCCGCACCAGGCAAUGGAAGAAGCACUGGCCUAGACCAAGCUUGAGCGUGCACCACUGUCACCUGGAGGGCUUGUUCCAACACGGAUGGCUGGACUCACCCCCAGAAUUUCAGAUUUAUUAGGUCUGCACUGGGCCCUGAGAAUGUUUAUUUAAAACAAAUUCCUGGAUGCUACUGGUUCAGUUGCCACACUCUGAGACCCGCUGGCUUUGAGCUUAGAAGAUGUGGGUUUGAUUCCUGGAUUCCACAGUUUACUAGCUGUGAGUUAGAGAAUUUAAAUUACUUACCUGAGUCUUGGUUUCUUAUUUGCAAACUGAACUGUAAACUAUUUGUUCUACCCAUUUUAUAAGACUUUUGUAAGGAUAAAAUAAAAGAAUACAUAUGCAAAUUACUGAAAAACCUGUCACUGUUGUUAUUACUAGUAUUAUUGUGAAAGAAGCUGUAGAUUUAUGUCAGCCCCAGACAGGAGUUGACAGAACCUUCGAGUUGCACAAGGCCUGCUGGAGCACUUCAGAGAAUUCCAAAUGAAUCUUGAUUGCAUUGUGGAAUGUACAGCACUGGGGCCCUGGGGACCAGCAUGGAAUGUGAGUAAAGACAAGAUAGGUUCUAUCAUCCUCCAGACCUGCAGAUGUGUGUUCAAAUCCUGACUCCAUGGGGCUUGACUCUAUCCCAUCUGGAAAAAUGGAAAUAAAAGUGCCUACCUUACUGGUUUAUUGUGAGGACUAUUUGAGAUAAUGUAUUUAAAGAACUAGCACAGUGCACGGCACAUAGUGGGCACUCACUAAAUAUUAGCUCUUAAUAUAGUUAUGAAAACUAAACCCAAUGGGGAGAAAAUGCAAGGCCAUCUUGGUAAUACAACUGUAUGUAUUAUGAGGUAGCCAGGUCUCUCAGCCCAAAAGACCAUAUUCCAGGGCCAGGCAUGGUGGCUCACGCCUGUAAUCCCAGCACUUUGGGAGGCUGAGCUGGGUGGAUGACUUCAGGCCAGGAGUUCGAGACUAGCCUGGCCAAAAUGGCAAAACCCCCAUCUUUACUAAAAAUGCAAAAAUUAGCUGGGUAUGGUGGCACACACCUGUGGUCCCAGCUACUCAGGAGGCUGAGGCAUGAUAAUUACUGGAACCUGGGAGGUGAAGGUUGCAGUAAGCUGAGAUUUUGCCACUGCACUCUAGCCUGGGUGACAGAGCAAGAAAAAAAAAAAAAGACCAUAUUCCAGUGCUGCUGCUCUGAGAGAGCAGGAGCAGUUAGACUCACUGACCUCCCACGUUGCUUCCAAAUGAGAUUUUAAUGUCAGCACAAAGCAAACGCAUCUAGUCAGUUGCCAGCAACCAGGGCUGUUUUCCCCAGACUUCCCUUAUGACUGACAGCUACACCAUUCAUUUCUUUGCUAUGACCUACCUUG
rnacentral:lncRNA from 1 species